rnacentral:lncRNA from 1 species
GCCGGCCCUACCAUGACCCAAUCGAUGUUUUAACCUGAUAAGUUCGGACAUGACUUAUCGAGAGUACACGAGGUCAAAGUAGCAUCUUGCCGACAGGCAGGUUUAACCAAGUUUCAAAGAAGGCGGCUUAAUAGCCCAUGGAGUGUCCGCACUUUCUAUAAGCCGUCUCCUACAUGACCCAAUCGAUAUUUUAACCUGGAUAAGUUCAGGGUCCAUGUGGAUUGACUUACCGAGAGUACACGAGGUUCAGAGUAGCAUCUUGCGAACAAGCGGGUUUAACCAUGAAUUUUUGCCAAUAUGGCAGGACACCCAUGUUUAAACUGCGCAUCGUGGCAGCUACUCCUCUUUGGUGACCUUUAGUUUGCCCUCCAGUAAAGGAGGGCACCCAUGUUUGAAUGGUCGCAUCAUGGUGGUUCUCCUCUUGGGCGACUUUAAGAUGCCCACCAAUAAAGCAGGGCAUCCAUGUUUGAACUAUCGCAUCAUGGCGGCUCUUUCUCUUGGGCGACUUUUAAAUUCUUUUGCCAAUGAGGUAGUAGACUGGGUUAUCUUUUCUUUAAUGACCUAGGGUUCUUGAAUUAUUCAGCCUGGUUGAAUCUGGCGAGCCAUGUCUAUGUAGCACCCGAGUCUUAAGUCGACUCAAGGAGGCGGCUUGAGAGUCUCAAUACUUGACUGUGGCAUAAGCUGGCGGAGAAAGAUGUUGGUACCCGCUCCAUCUUCGAGAUAUAAAGCCACUUUUUGUAAUGAAGAAUUCUCCUGCGUAAAAAUAUUGCAGGCCAAAGUAAUUGUUCUUGGACAAAUAACAUAUAUACUAAAAAAUAGAUAAGAUGAAUAGCACCUGAUGUGUUAGAAUAGACCGGACCACGCGAGGGACGGCUUCUGCAUUUUACCGAAUUGUCCAAUGCAGUUGAUCGUUGGUGCACCUCCCAUUUUAUAACUUAACGUGAUGAUUUCAACGGACGACGGAUGUGUCCCAAGCAAAAAAAAGAUCUUUCUCCUUUUUUUUCUUUUUUUAGGCUAGCUGCCUCUUUUUUAUCCAGCCAAUCCCUAUCUUCUUUGACUUAGAGUAAUGCUAUACUUAUAAAGGCUUACGUAAAGAUUUUACGUACAACUGAUAAUGCUAGACAUACAAAAACUUACAAAGGUUUACUUAACCUUCCAAACUAACUCUUCUCUUCCCCCUGAUUUUCAAUGAGAAUGGGCCCCUCAUCCCUUAAUUACCAAUCACAAUCUUACACGUUAGUUUGUACGUAAAAUUUUUACAUAAGACUUUGUAGGUGUAGCAUUACUCCUGACUUAUAUACCCGGCACGCGAGCAAAGGCGGAGCCGACGCGGUGGGUUGCCAUGCAAAGGGAGUUAAGAGCAACCCGGCCAGCGGGGUGAGGUGACCGGCGACUUGAUGUGAGGCGACAACGGUAGGAGACUCGAGGCUGGCGACUCGAGGCAAGGCGACGGUGGCAGGCGACUUGAGGUGAGGCGAGGCGAAGCGGAGCCAGUGGUUGGGCGGUGGCGGGUCAACCGACGGUGUCAAAGGCUGGCGACUCGAGGCGAGGCGGGUCAACCGACGGUGUCAAAGGCUGGCGACUCGAGGCGAGGCGAUGACGGCAGGCAACUCGAGGCGAGGCGACGGCGGCAGGCGACUCGAGGCGAGGUGAGGCAAAGCGGAGCCAAUGGUGGAGCAGUGGCGGCUGGCGGGUCGAGCGACUGUGACAAAGCAAUGUCGGGGGGACAAUGCAGCGGGGCAGCGAGCCGACGCUGAACGGGGCAAGUCAAGGGCCGCUCGGAAGAGCCGGCCACGACGGCGGCUUAGCCAUGGCGAAGGCAUGGCGUGGCUAAGGCGGAGCGGGGCAAUCUGGUGGCGGAAGACCACUAUUCCAUGCGAGGCAGCGGGAGCGGUCUUUAGCGAGCGGUGGUCAUGGCAAAAAUGCACGCGUGGGCCGGCUUGGCGAGGUAGACCAGCUCGAUGUGACGCGGUUGUGGAGGUAGGCCGGCAUGGUGGCUAGGGCGCAAGGCCGACGGAGACACCAUGGUGCCGGCGGGCCGACGCAGAGUGGCGAGUCGCCUUGGCAUGCGGAAACCGGCGCUGAGCGGGGUGCACGAAGGCGAGAGACGUCCGGGGCUCGGCGCGGAGGUGGGGUGCGCGCAGCCAACCACAUGGCAGCAUGAGAAGGCGGGAGCGGCUACUGGAGAUGGUGGGUGUGUGGCGGCACGAUCCACGGCGGAGACUUUCUCACGGCCAGAGGCAAAUCCGGCGGCUCGUACCAGCAUGGAGCGGUGAGGGCUCGCAGCGAGGGGAGCGCGACAGCAAAGGUGACGCCAGCUCGGGUGUGCGCGAAUGGCGAGUCGAGCCCGACUCGGAGCGGGUGCAGCAAGGCAGAAACGCCGGCGGCUCAGACGCGAAGCUAUAGCGAAGGCAGGCACAACAGGUUAAAACGCGCUCGGAUUAGAGCGGCGACUUGGCGGCGCUUGGUGAGGCGAAGCGUCUUCAGCGUGGCGAGUCGGCACGCAUGGUGGAGAGCGGCCGAUGCGGUGCCGUGAGCCGGUCGGGCGCGGGAGAGGCGAGUCCGGUGAGGCGACUUGAGACAAAGCCAGCGAUGUGGGCGGCGGAGGCUGGUGCGGUGCGGCGGAACCAACCGAGGCGCCGGAGGCGAGGCUGGCGCAAGGUUUGGCCGCGGCGACGAGGCGUCUUGAGGCGCAAUAGAGGUGGGCGACUCAAAGAUGAGGAGUGGACGAUCCCGAGCUCAACUCGGAGAAAGUGCUGGUUAAUGUGCAGUGCGGUUGGGUGCGGUGGCUCACGCGAUGGUGCGAGGCGAUGUGAGGCAAAACCAGAGAGGUGUAGAUGGAUGUGUGUCAUUGGUGCAGAGGCGAGCUGGCAUGGUAACCCGCUAUUUAAAACAUUGGUGCAGAGGCGAGCUGGCUGGUAACCCGGAGAGGUGUAGAUGGAUGUGUG